AGAGUCACCCUGUAUUGGGGAAAUUUCGGCAUUCUAGGCCCAACAGACCUGAGGAAAACAGAUGCGACUCCCAACUUGUGUUCUCCCUUAUGGGGGAAAGUAUAUGGAAGGAGGGGGAGUGAAUUUUACUUGUCUUCAGAAGACCAUGCACAAGCAAAGAAGGUGUCACCUAAGAACAAUCGUACAAGUGGAAGAAGCAAAAGGACACCUUUGGAUCUGAGACAAGAGCCCUGCAGCACCUCCACCAAUCUCCAGCAGAAACAUUAGGAACAAAAAGUUGGCCUCCUGAAAGAUCCUGGUACAUGCUUCAGCGACAUCUCCUUUAUGUUGUAGCGAAAUGGCUUUCCCAUGUGCAGGUGGAGAUUAGCUGCAAAAUCUGCAUUUUUUUGAGAGGGGGGACACAAAUCAGGAGCUACUCACCCACGUACUGAAACAACUCACCAUAUGCUCCCUCUAUCGCCAAGGAAAAGGUGCUAGUUCAAAUGUAAAUUCGCCCUCCAAAAACCCCAACAUGUAAUUUUCAAUGGAGAAGGCAUUUAUAGGACAAAUAUUACAAGUUAUCCCACCAUCAAGUUUGCCAAGAGCUAAUAAUCAAAAUGGCACAUUGCAGUUUUAAGUCGUCUUUAUGCAGCUGUUCUUGUCAGGGGGAUAGGGGACUGGCUAGUGUUGUGUCUAAAUUUGUUGCAGGUUUCAUACAUGUAAACAAAAGAGGUUAGGCAGACAAUCUGGGGCCUCAUUAAAUU